rnacentral:tRNA from 1 species
AGAUUCAGUUCGUUAGAGCCAACAGCCACGUCCUGAAAAGGCUGGUGUCGACAGUUCGAUUCUGUCCCUCGGCACCA